AUAUUUGUAUUUGUUACUUGAUAUUUUAAAAUGUGUUAAAAUUGUUAUAAUUUGGUGCAAAUGCAUGAUUUAGAAAUAUUUUGUGUAUACUAGUUAGAACAUAAUCAUAUUCUUAACUAAAAUUAAACUCCUGUCUUAUUAGCUUUUACAUUACAAAGUUAAAGUUUAUUGAUACUGUGGAUAUAUAUUAUCAUUUGUUGGGUACCAAUUUUUAGUGGAUGACAUGUGUAACCACUUUAAAAUUUCUUAUAGGAUUACAUUUGUGUAAGCUAACUUUGGCAAAACCACGAAAUCAUGUAUCUACAGAAAUAUAUUUUUUCUUAAAUCCAUGAAAAUGAAUUCAUCAAAAGUAUGACUUCUACAAUAUAAAUAUAAGGACAUUUUUAUAAUAGAUAACAAUUAUUUAAACUAGUGCUGUAAU
rnacentral:lncRNA from 1 species